GAUGAACGCUGGCGGCGUGCUUAACACAUGCAAGUCGAACGAUGAAGCCCAGCUUGCUGGGUGGAUUAGUGGCGAACGGGUGAGUAACACGUGAGCAACCUGCCCCUGACUCUGGGAUAAGCGCUGGAAACGGCGUCUAAUACUGGAUAUGUCCCGUCACCGCAUGGUGUGCGGGUGGAAAGAUUCUUCGGUUGGGGAUGGGCUCGCGGCCUAUCAGCUUGUUGGUGAGGUAAUGGCUCACCAAGGCGUCGACGGGUAGCCGGCCUGAGAGGGUGACCGGCCACACUGGGACUGAGACACGGCCCAGACUCCUACGGGAGGCAGCAGUGGGGAAUAUUGCACAAUGGACGAAAGCCUGAUGCAGCAACGCCGCGUGAGGGAUGACGGCCUUCGGGUUGCAAACCUCUUUUAGCAGGGAAGAAGCGAAAGUGACGGUACCUGCAGAAAAAGCACCGGCUAACUACGUGCCAGCCGCCGCGGUAAAAC
rnacentral:rRNA from 1 species